rnacentral:rRNA from 1 species
GGACUACCCGGGUAUCUAAUCCCGUUUGCUCCCCUAGCUUUCGCGCCUCAGCGUCAGAAGAGGUCCAGUUGCGCGCUUUCGCCACCGGCGUUCCUUCCGAUAUCAACGCAUUUCACCGCUCCACCGGAAGUUCCCGCAACCCCUAUCUCCCUCUAGACAAGCAGUAUCCAAGGCACUUUUCCGGUUAAGCCGAAAGAUUUCACCCCGGACUUGCUUGCCCGCCUACGCGCCCUUUAAGCCCAGUGAAUCCGAACAACGUUCGCACGGUUCGUCUUACCGCGGCUGCUGGCAC